UCAUUCAGUAAACACCGCUUAAUAGCUUAAAGCUUAAAGAUCUUGUUUGAAAAGUCAGCUAUUUAUAGCGUUGCUUUUGAGCAUCGUUUUAUCGAUUUUCCUUGCAAGAUCAGCUACUACGAGGGAGCUACUACUGUUCAAGGUUUUUCCAACCGCUAUAUUGCAAAAGUGUAGUCUAAAGCAGACCAAUUUUGAMGAAAUKUACUUGAAAGCUCUUCUACUUUUGCUUUGCCUGUUUGUUGCAAAUAUAUCUUCUUUGCCUCAACAUGAAGACGAGGCGCUAGAUGAAAUCUUGCCAAUGUCUCCUAAUUUAGAAACAAAGAAGAAAGAUGCCAUUUUCGUUGAUGAAGAUUUGAAGCCUGUGAAGUUGUCCAAAAGACAAGACCAUGCUUGCGUGCACAGGCAUUAUGCUAAAUUUAUACUUGCUCAGGGGCAGCUCAUUGGGAUACACAUUGUCAGCUGUCAUAUUGAAGUUUUACAAGGAUGCGCGUCAAGCAUUCCAAAGUAUGGAAGGAGAUUGUGUGCGCCAGUAAAGGUCACCUUCCCAGAUGGAAAUGCCUACCCAGUAAGCUGUAAAUGUAAGGCGUAAAUAAAAAACGAGAGCAAAUUAAAA